CCUGAGAAAGUGUCAGAGACUUUACCUGGACCUGCCAAUGGAAAAAACAAAAACACAGCAUAGUCAAUGUAAAGAAGGGCCUCCUGAAUAACAUCCUUCCUUGAAGAUCCUGUUGUGAGAGAAGCAGUACAAAGAAAGAAUGUACAGAC